rnacentral:rRNA from 1 species
CGCUUCUUUCCUCCCGAGUGCUUGCACUCAAUUGGAAAGAGGAGUGGCGGACGGGUGAGUAACACGUGGGUAACCUACCCAUCAGAGGGGGAUAACACUUGGAAACAGGUGCUAAUACCGCAUAACAGUUUAUGCCGCAUGGCAUAAGAGUGAAAGGCGCUUUCGGGUGUCGCUGAUGGAUGGACCCGCGGUGCAUUAGCUAGUUGGUGAGGUAACGGCUCACCAAGGCCACGAUGCAUAGCCGACCUGAGAGGGUGAUCGGCCACACUGGGACUGAGACACGGCCCAGACUCCUACGGGAGGCAGCAGUAGGGAAUCUUCGGCAAUGGACGAAAGUCUGACCGAGCAACGCCGCGUGAGUGAAGAAGGUUUUCGGAUCGUAAAACUCUGUUGUUAGAGAAGAACAAGGACGUUAGUAACUGAACGUCCCCUGACGGUAUCUAACCAGAAAGCCACGGCUAACUACGUGCCAGCAGCCGCGGUAAUACGUAGGUGGCAAGCGUUGUCCGGAUUUAUUGGGCGUAAAGCGAGCGCAGGCGGUUUCUUAAGUCUGAUGUGAAAGCCCCCGGCUCAACCGGGGAGGGUCAUUGGAAACUGGGAGACUUGAGUGCAGAAGAGGAGAGUGGAAUUCCAUGUGUAGCGGUGAAAUGCGUAGAUAUAUGGAGGAACACCAGUGGCGAAGGCGGCUCUCUGGUCUGUAACUGACGCUGAGGCUCGAAAGCGU